GAUGAAUGCUGGCGGCGUGCCUAACACAUGCAAGUCGAGCGGCAGCGCGUCUAGUUUACUAGAUGGCGGCGAGCGGCGGACGGCUGAGUAACGCGUGGGAACGUGCCCCAAAGUGAGGAAUAACUGCCCGAAAGGGUAGCUAAUGCCGCAUAUGGUCUUCGGAUUAAAGUAUUUAUACGCUUUGGGAGCGGCCCGCGUCGGAUUAGGUUGUUGGUGAGGUAAUGGCUCACCAAGCCGACGAUCCGUAGCUGGCCUGAGAGGAUGAUCAGCCAGACUGGAACUGAGACACGGUCCAGACUCCUACGGGAGGCAGCAGUGAGGAAUCUUCCACAAUGGGCGAAAGCCUGAUGGAGCAACGCCGCGUGCAGGAUGAAGGCCUUCGGGUCGUAUACUGCUUUUAUAAGUGAAGAAUAUGACGGUAACUUAUGAAUAAGCACCGGCUAACUACGUGCCAGCAGCCGCAGUAA
rnacentral:rRNA from 1 species